GAGAGAGUGAGAGAGCGGAGAGCUUCCGCCGUGUGUUGUCUGUGCUGCCGCCGAUGAGGAUGCGGCUGCUCCAAAGCGACCCCUCUGUUCAAAAGGAGAAAUUCACCCACAGAGUGAGAGGAAGGUGGAUUUGAGCUACAGGUGUGAGGGUCGCCCGUGUGUGACGUCAUCCCAUCAACUGACGAGCGCCGACUUAAAUGGUUUCCAUGGUUACCGUGACAACUUCCUGUGGAACAAUGUGCUCAACCUGCUCGAACCUGCCCCCUGUGUUUUGUUCGGGUAACACCUGCUGCUGUUCCACUUCACUUCGCUUGGUUUCUGGGUCUGUCUUCAAAUCAGGAAUGUUACAUAACUUUGCAUUCGGCAGACCUUCAAUUAUUGUUGUUUAGCAAUUACACAACAACGUAUACACUUACCUUGGCAUGUUGCUAAAACACGUAUCAAGGAACCCGGCCUUGCGUUCACAGGAACACGUGUUUGUACAGAGAACUGCUGCCACUAUAUCAGCACUUCGUCUCCGAGUAAAUGGAGCACAACGACCUGACCUGAGUCUCCGUCACCUUUUAACCCAGUAACCCUACUCAACGCCACACAAUAACAACAAUGGCGGACACUCAGUGCCAUACUUGAGAAGCUAACUCUGCUAUUUGGUGUGCUACAGUUAGCCAUUCUGCGGACUCUACAGUGUUGACAUUCUACAUACCAAUAACAUUAGUAAAAACUACUUAAAAAUG